AUAGAACUGCAUCCAAAACUAUUAGGCUAGAGUGUGGGAGAGGAAGAUGGAAUUAGUUGUGUAGGGGUAAAAUCCGUAGAGAUAACUAGGAAUACCAAAAGCGAAGGCAAUCUUCUGGAACAUUACUGACGCUGAGGCGCGAAAGCGUGGGGAGCAAACAGGAUUAGAUACCCUGGUAGUCCACGCCCUAAACGAUGAACGUUAGUCGUCGGGUAGCUAGUCUAUUCGGUGAUGCAGCUAACGCAUUAAACAUUCCGCCUGGGGAGUACGGUCGCAAGAUUAAAACUCAAAGGAAUAGACGGGGACCCGCACAAGUGGUGGAGCAUGUGGUUUAAUUCGAAGAUACACGAAGAACCUUACCUGGCCUUGACAUCCCAAGAACUUUCCAGAGAUGGAUUGGUGCUAGCUUGCUAGAACUUGGUGACAGGUGCUGCACGGCUGUCGUCAGCUCGUGUCGUGAGAUGUUGGGUUAAGUCCCGCAACGAGCGCAACCCUCGUCUUUAGUUGCUAACAGUUAGGCUGAGCACUCUAAAGAGACUGCCUCCGUAAGGAGGAGGAAGGUGAGGACGACGUCAAGUCAUCAUGGCCCUUACGGCCAGGGCUACACACGUGCUACAAUGGGGCGUACAGAGAGCUGCAAUACCGCGAGGUGGAGCCAAUCUCUUAAAGCGUCUCUCAGUUCGGAUUGUUCUCUGCAACUCGAGAACAUGAAGCUGGAAUCACUAGUAAUCGCAGAUCAGCUAUGCUGCGGUGAAUACGUUCCCGGGUCUUGCACACACCGCCCGUC
rnacentral:rRNA from 1 species